UAGGGAAUUUUGGACAAUGGGGGAAACCCUGAUCCAGCCAUCCCGCGUGUGCGAUGAAGGCCUUCGGGUUGUAAAGCACUUUUGGCAGGAAAGAAACGUCAUGGGUUAAUACCCCGUGAAACUGACGGUACCUGCAGAAUAAGCACCGGCUAACUACGUGCCAGCAGCCGCGGUAAUACGUAGGGUGCAAGCGUUAAUCGGAAUUACUGGGCGUAAAGCGUGCGCAGGCGGUUCGGAAAGAAAGAUGUGAAAUCCCAGAGCUCAACUUUGGAACUGCAUUUUUAACUACCGGGCUAGAGUGUGUCAGAGGGAGGUGGAAUUACGCGUGUAGCAGUGAAAUGCGUAGAUAUGCGGAGGAACACCGAUGGCGAAGGCAGCCUCCUGGGAUAACACUGACGCUCAUGCACGAAAGCGUGGGGAGCAAACAGG
rnacentral:rRNA from 1 species